AAUCAAUGCCAGUGUGGAUAAGAUUGAUUAUUUCAACACCCAGAAGCUGGAAAGGUUCAUCAAGCUUUUGAGACAGGGCCCCUCUGAGAGAGGGGAUGAGGAGCAGCUUCUUGCAGUGUGUAAAGAGCUGGCAGAGUAAUUAUUGAAGGUUCAAGUCACAGAUAUGAUCCACAGAUACAGAAAAACACUAUCGUGAUGCUGG
rnacentral:lncRNA from 1 species